rnacentral:rRNA from 1 species
GACGAACGCUGGCGGCGUGCCUAAUACAUGCAAGUUGAGCGAUGAAGCUUGGUGCUUGCACCAAUUUGAAGAGCAGCGAACGGGUGAGUAACGCGUGGGGAAUCUGCCUUUGAGCGGGGGACAACAUUUGGAAACGAAUGCUAAUACCGCAUAACAACUUUAAACAUAAGUUUUAAGUUUGAAAGAUGCAAUUGCAUCACUCAAAGAUGAUCCCGCGUUGUAUUAGCUAGUUGGUGAGGUAAAGGCUCACCAAGGCGAUGAUACAUAGCCGACCUGAGAGGGUGAUCAGCCGCAUUGGGACUGAGACACGGCCCAAACUCCUACGGGAGGCAGCAGUAGGGAAUCUUCGGCAAUGGACGAAAGUCUGACCGAGCAACGCCGCGUGAGUGAAGAAGGUUUUCGGAUCGUAAAACUCUGUUGGUAGAGAAGAAAGUUGGUGAGAGUGGAAAGCUCAUCAAGUGACGGUAACUACACAGAAAGGGACGGCUAACUACGUG